rnacentral:piRNA from 1 species
UGACCAAGUUGCAUGUGUACACCAG